UUUCCGUAGGUGAACCUGCGGAAGGAUCAUUAAAAAUGAAGACCCAUAUAAUGAGGGUCUUAUUAAUAAUCCUACCCUUUGUGAAUUUGUUUGUUUUAUAAACUUGUGUCUUUCCCUGUUUUUGAUGGAGCUUGUUUAAAAAAGCAAAAUCAAAUUCAGGGAAUGGCAAAACCUUUUUUUAAAAUUAAACUUUUUGUAUUCAUUUGUCUAAAAAUUAUUUUUAUAAUAUAAAAACAACUUUUGACAAUGGAUCUCUUGGUUCUCGCAACGAUGAAGAACGCAGCAAAAUGCGAUAAGUAAUGUGAAUUGCAGAAUACGUGAGUCAUCGAAUCUUCGAACGCAUAUUGCACUUUUUUGGUUUACCAAAAAGUAUGUCUGUUUGAGUAUCAGUAAAAUAUUCUCAUAAAAAACUUUUGUUUUUUAUGGUUAUGAGUGUUUUACAACGAUAAACAAGUUGUUUCACUUUAAAUUCUUUGACUUGAAAAAAAAUCAUUAAAAACUGAUUUUUUUAAAAUUGGAUAAAAUUUCCUGUAAAAAAGGAAUAACCUAAACAAUUUUAAGAAAUUAUUAGUUUGAUUUUUUAAAAAGUACUAAAGGAAAAAAGUAAAAAUUAACUUGAUCUCAAAUCAGAUAAGAGUACCGCUGAACUUAAGCAUAUCAAUAAGCGGAGGAAAAGAAACUAACUAGGAUUCCUCAGUAACGGCGAGUGAAGCGGGAAGAGCUCAAAUUUGAAAUCUUCAAGGUUCUACCUUGACGAAUUGUAGUUUAAAGAAGUGUUUUCUGUUGGAGUUUUGGUAAAAGUUCUUUGGAAUAGGACAUCAUAGAGGGUGAGAAUCCCGUAUUUGACCAUUAUUUCCAACUUUGUGAUACACUUUCAAAGAGUCGGAUUGUUUGGAAUGCAGUCCAAAAUGGUGGUAAAUUUCAUCUAAAGCUAAAUACUGGCGAGAGACCGAUAGCGAACAAGUACCGUGAGGAAAGAUGAAAAGAACUUUGAAAAGAGAGUUAAACAGUACGUGAAAUUGUCAAAAGGGAAGCGUUUGACACCAGUGUUGUUUUCUCGAAAAUCAAUUAAAAAUGGCAGGAUUCUGUGUUGUAUUGACUUUAUCAGCUUCUGCACUUUUUCUUGUCUUUUUUAAUGCACUUUUCGUUUAACAAGUCAACAUCAAUUUCUUUUGCUGUAAAAGAGUCAUUGGAAGGUGGCUUCUUUUCGGAGAAAGUGUUUAUAGCCUUUGACUUCUGCAGUCGAGAGAUUGAGGUCUGCAGCGUAGAUCCUUCGGGGUUAGAUGCAUUUGUGCUAAGUUAUAGCCUUUCAUAGACAACUUGUUGACUAUGAUCAGUCAUGUAGCUUACUCGCUUAUGUUAUUUUACCUACGCUUAGGAUGUUGAU
rnacentral:misc_RNA from 1 species